CCUACGGGAGGCAGCAGUGGGGAAUAUUGCACAAUGCGGGAAACCCUGAUGCAGCGACGCCGCGUGAGUGACGAAGGCAUUCGUUAUGUAAAGCUCUUUCAGCAGGGAAGAAAAUGACGAUACGUGAGUGAGAAUCUCUUGCUAACUCCGUGCCAGCAGCCGCGGUAAUACGUAGGGGGCGCGCGUUCUCCGGAUUGACUGGGGGUAAGGGGAGCGUAGGCGGCAGUGCAAGUCAGGAGUGAAAGGCGGGUGCUCAACCUUCGGACUGCUAGGGAAACUGUACUGCUGGAGUGCAGGAGAGGUAUGGAGAAUUCCUGGUGUAGCGGUGAAAUGCGUAGAUAUUAGGAGGAAUACCGUUGGCGAAGGCGGCUAACUGGCCGGCAACUGACGCUGAGGUGCGAAAGCGUGGGUAGCAAACAGGAUUAGAUACCCCUGUAGUC
rnacentral:rRNA from 1 species